GGGGAUUUAGCUCAGCGGCAUAAGCGCCUGCCUUGCAAGCAGGCAGUCCCUG
rfam:Cavia porcellus supercont2_36 genomic scaffold, whole genome shotgun sequence.